rnacentral:rRNA from 1 species
UAUAGGAUCUACCUAGUAGUACGGAAUAAUUGUUGGAAACGGCAACUAAUACCGUAUACGCCCUACGGGGGAAAAAUUUAUUGCUAUUAGAUGAGCCUAUAUUAGAUUAGCUAGUUGGUGGAGUAAUAGCCUACCAAGGCAAUGAUCUAUAGCUGAUCUGAGAGGAUGAUCAGCCACACUGGAACUGAGAUACGGUCCAGACUCCUACGGGAGGCAGCAGUGGGGAAUAUUGGACAAUGGGCGAAAGCCUGAUCCAGCCAUGCCGCAUGAGUGAAGAAGGCCUUUGGGUUGUAAAGCUCUUUUAGUGAGGAAGAUAAUGACGGUACUCACAGAAGAAGUCCUGGCUAACUCCGUGCCAGCAGCCGCGGUAAUACGGAGAGGGCUAGCGUUAUUCGGAAUUAUUGGGCGUAAAGGGCGCGUAGGCGGAUUAGUAAGUUAAAAGUGAAAUCCCAAGGCUCAACCUUGGAAUUGCUUUUAAAACUGCUAAUCUAGAGAUUGAAAGAGGAUAGAGGAAUUCCUAGUGUAGAGGUGAAAUUCGUAAAUAUUAGGAGGAACACCAGUGGCGAAGGCGUCUAUCUGGUUCAAAUCUGACGCUGAGGCGCGAAGGCGUGGGGAGCAAACAGGAUUAGAUACCCUGGUAGUCCACGCUGUAAACGAUGAAUGUUAAAUAUGGGAAGUUUUACUUUCUGUAUUACAGCUAACGCGUUAAACAUUCCGCCUGGGGACUACGGUCGCAAGAUUAAAACUCAAAGGAAUUGACGGGGACC